rnacentral:rRNA from 1 species
UACGGGGGGGGCAAGCGUUGUUCGGAAUUACUGGGCGUAAAGGCUCGUAGGCGGCCAACUAAGUCAUACGUGAAAUCCCCCGGCUUAACCGGGGAACUGCGUCUGAUACUGGAUGGCUUGAGUUCGGGAGAGGGAUGCGGAAUUCCAGGUGUAGCGGUGAAAUGCGUAGAUAUCUGGAGGAACACCGGUGGCGAAAGGCGGCAUCCUGGACCGAUACUGACGCUGAGGAGCGAAAGCCAGGGGAGCAAACGGG